rnacentral:rRNA from 1 species
AGGGUAAACGCUGGCGGCGUGCCUAAAACAUGCAAGUCGAACGGUGUCCUUCGGGGCACAGUGGCAGACGGCUGAGUAACGCGUGGGUGACGUACCUGUUUGUGGGGAAUAACUGCCCGAAAGGGUGGCUAAUACCGCAUACGCCCAUUGAUUCGUGUUGAUGGGGAAAGCUUCGCAAGAGGCGCAGAUGGAGCGGCCCGCGUCCGAUUAGCUAGUUGGUGGGGUAACGCCUACCAAGGCGACGAUCGGUAGCUGGUCUCAGAGGAUGAUCAGCCAGACUGGGACUGAGACACGGCCCAGACUCCUACGGGAGGCAGCAGUUAGGAAUUUUGGGCAAUGGGCGCAAGCCUGACCCAGCAACGCCGCGUGGGUGACGAAGGCCUUCGGGUUGUAAAGCCCUUUUCUGAGGGAAGAUGAUGACGGUACCUCAGGAAGAAGCACCGGCUAACUACGUGACAGCAGCCGC